rnacentral:tRNA from 1 species
GAGGGUAUAGCUCAGUGGUAGAGGGCGUGCUCAGCAUGCACAAGGUCCUGGGUUCAAUCUCCAGUACCUCCA